rfam:Salmo salar isolate Sally breed double haploid chromosome ssa01, whole genome shotgun sequence.
UGCACUCACUACUGUAAGUCGCUCUGGAUAAGAGUGUCUGCUAAAUAACUAAAA